AGGACGAACGCUGGCGGCGUGCUUAACACAUGCAAGUCGAACGAGAACCUCCCUUCGGGGAGGGGACAGUGGCGCACGGGUGAGUAACACGUGGGUAAUUUACCUUUGGGUGGGGAACAACAGCCGGAAACGGCUGCUAAUACCGCAUAAUGCAGCGGCUCGACAUCGAGACAGUUGUUAAAGCGGGGGAUCGCAAGACCUCGCGCCUAAAGAGAAGCCCGCGGCAGAUUAGCUAGUUGGUAGGUAAUGGCCUACCAAGGCGACGAUCU
rnacentral:rRNA from 1 species